GUGGCUUCCUGAGCAUGGCUGCCCAUUGUGGUUAAUCUCGCACACAGGCAGUAAUUGGAAUAUAACAGUGGGAGUGCUGAAUUGAAGCUGCCCUGCGACUACUCUGAGUCUUGGGUAAAAACAACCCUUCCAUGGAAUGCUGUGGGAUCAUGUGCUCUCUGAUAACCUCACACUAUAUAAUAUAAUGAGAAACUGCUGAAAAAACGGCAAGACGACUGAGACGUCAAGUAUGUCCUAUGAAAAGCCCAGGAAAGCAAAACAUAUGAGCUGUCAGGGAAACAUUUCAUGGAGGUCUUCCAUCUUCUGAGAACUUUGGAACGCCCUCUGCUGCUCCUACACCUGGAGAGUCUCCUAGGUUUUCAAGAUACAAAUCAAGUACUGUCCUUGACCUCACUGCUACAGCAGAUGUAUUACUUUUCAGCUUGUGUAUUGCCACUUAUCUCACAUUAAAUUUGUUCUCAUCCUUGACUGAAGUCUGAAGCUUUUAAGGGUAGAUACUGGUGUUUGCUGAUACAUUU
rnacentral:lncRNA from 1 species